rnacentral:rRNA from 1 species
UACGUAGGGUGCAAGCGUUAAUCGGAAUUACUGGGCGUAAAGCGUGCGCAGGCGGCUUUGUAAGACAGAUGUGAAAUCCCAGGGCUCAACCUUGGAACUGCAUUUGUGACUGCAUCGCUGGAGUGCGGCAGAGGGGGAUGGAAUUCCGCGUGUAGCAGUGAAAUGCGUAGAUAUGCGGAGGAACACCGAUGGCGAAGGCAAUCCCCUGGGCCUGCACUGACGCUCAUGCACGAAAGCGUGGGGAGCAAACAGG